CACACACACACACGCACACGCACACACCCUCACACGCAUGCACGCACACACACACACGCACACACACACACACACACACACACACACACAACACAACAAACACCCACACACGCGUGCACACACACACACGCACACACAUACCACACACUCACACGCACACACACACACACGUGCACACACACAGGCACACACGACACACACACACACACACAUACGCAUACACAAACACAAACACACACACACACACCCACAGGCACACACACACGACACACACACACAUACACAAACACAAACACACACACACACCCACACACACAUGCAAGCACGCACACACACAUACACACACACGUGCACAGACACACACACAGACAGACAGACACACACACACAUACACACACACACAAAACACAACAAACACCCACACACACGCACACACACACACACGCGCGCGUAAACUAAAGUGAUGGAACUGUUCCAGAUUGUGCGAUUGACCUGGAAUUAGUCUGGGAAACGAGGACCAGAAUGACUGCUUUCAGGUAACUUGUUUUUGUGUCAUUGUUGCACCUCAUUACCUGUGUGUACCGAUGCUCGGAAUCUUACCACACGCUUACACUGGUGGCUCCACCAUAUUCAAGUCACGCAGGUACUAGAAGUCACAGUGAUAAUCUCUGCCUGAAAGGACUGUUGCGUCAACCUAGUAAGCAAGCAUCAUGGCUAACCAGAAGAACAAAUGCAAUUCAGUAAGGAAGUCUAAAAGACAAUUGUUUUGGCAGGAAGAAAACGGACACAGGAAGAAAACGGACACAGAUAGUCCAGGAGCAGAAACAAAUAUUACAACUACAGUAACUCCAGAUACUUCGGCGCAUCAACUUCAACAGGAGCAGAAACAAAUAUUACAACUACAGUAACUCCAGAUACUUCGGACACUGACGCAUCAACUUCAACAGGAGCGAAGCAAACAUCCAAGGGAGCAGAAAAAAUAUUCUGAUGAGCUAUCCAGGCAUUCAAUGCACUGCUCUGGAAGUGUUGUAUUAAAUGGCGAGUUUCGAUAUGGUUUAGCUCAGUGUUCCAUCUGUAAACACACAAUCUGAAUAGAGACAUCCAAUAAAGUAAUAAAGUAAAAGGUCCAAAAGGUUAUCACAGGUAAAAGUAGUUUACAGUGUGUCAUCUAAAAAAAUUGUGUUUUUUCAAUACUCUGCGCACUUAAGGCCCGGGUCCAGAUUUCAACAUCAAAAUUUACACUAUGUUCAUACUGCUGUAUUAUUUGCAAUAUACAGUGUAUGCUGCAUCAAAAUGAUCCAAAAUGAAGCUCAAUGUUUUCUUUUUCCAAAAAACUAAUUAGCUUAAUUCAAUUAUGCUAAUUAGUCCCAUAAAUGGUGAUGACGUCAUGCCACUUUCAGAAAGAGAAAUGCAAAUACGGCGUUGAAGAUGCUAAGAUCAAGCUUCAAAAACAAGGCAAAAACAAGGCUAGAUGAACAUCUCAUAGCUAGGUACUAGUAUCCUUGAUGGGAAGAGUAGGAGUUAUUGUAUUUUUAAGAUACACAAAAUAGCCUACCUGCUGUCAGAGCUAAAGAAGCUAGCAUAGCUAAGAAAGUUUUGGACAUUUUUACUUCCCAUCAAGGUUUACUUCCCAUCAAGGAAACAUAAUCAUAACAACAUAAUCUAUCUUUUGAGGGCCUAAACAGCUACUGUUUAAGUCCGCCGUAUUUGUUGCCAAAGAUAAUCUAUAACAGUUCUAGCAGCUAGCUAAGCAAAUACAUUGACCUUAUGACGUCAUGUGCAAUGAAUAACAUUAAUAAACAUUAUGAAUCUCAUUAACACUACACGAUCUACAUCAUCUACAUGGCCAUGAAUAAAAUUAAUCUAAUCAGUGCCUGACCCAGGCCUUAACUGCCCAGAGUAGGUGGGAGUGCAGCUGUGUGGGGUACAGGUGGUGGCCAUAGUAAACUACAAGAGACCAUGAGUGUGGUAGGAGUUCCAGUCAUGUCAAAGACCAUGAGCGAGCUAUUGGAGAAGUAUGGAAACAGCAGUUGAGAGAAACCAUGCUUGAAGCUGGGCGAGAAGAGAAUGUAGAAAAGUCGUCCCAUAAACAUUCUGCUAAAUCAGGGGUUGCCAUCAUUAUCGGCAGAGACUGGCAAGUUACUUUUCAUUGACGUUCGAAAUAAAUUUUGUUAUGCCUGCUCAAGACAGAUUCCUAAAGUAUCCUAAAGAGAACUGGAACAAAUCUUCGGAGACAGAUAUUAUUCUACAAGGAGUGCUUCCUUCGUCGGUGACGUUCUGUUUUAUCAAAACCUGUCAACCUGUCAACCUUUGGCACAAAAUACUUAGCACAUGUACUAUAGUAAUUAGAGCACUAACCCUCGGCGAACAAUUGCAUUAUCAUAGUGAAUAAUAAUUAUUUAUUUAUUACGACGAA